UGCUUUCCUAGACACCAAUUAGAUCAAUUAAUCUAAUAUGACUUGCUCAUGUUGGUUCACUCUCGACUUGAUUGAGGAGGUUUUAGUUUAGGUCUCAUUGGGUUUGCUACAUCACAUGUAAACCUAUCUACCCCGUUCUCAUUCACAUCACAUGCAAACGGCACAUCGCAGGCAGUUAUAAUCGCAGCAAUAAUUAAAGCUUAAACUUUAAAUAGGUGAUGAUCAUGAAUUCUAAUUAGGUCAUAUUACAAGCACAUGCACGUCAAUC
rnacentral:lncRNA from 1 species